rnacentral:rRNA from 1 species
CCUACGGGAGGCAGCAGUGGGGGAUAUUGCACAAUGGGGGGAACCCUGAUGCAGCGACGCCGCGUGGGUGAAGGAGUGCUUCGGCAUGUAAAGCCCUAUCGGCAGGGAAGAAGCAAGACGGUACCUGACUAAGAAGCCCCGGCUAACUACGUGCCAGCAGCCGCGGUAAUACGUAGGGGGCGAGCGUUAUCCGGAUUCACUGGGUGUAAAGGGAGCGUAGACGGUGUGGCAAGUCUGAAGUGAAAGCCCGGGGCUCAACCCCGGGACUGCUUUGGAAACUGUCAUGCUGGAGUGCUGGAGAGGUAAGCGGAAUUCCUAGUGUAGCGGUGAAAUGCGUAGAUAUUAGGAGGAACACCAGUGGCGAAGGCGGCUUACUGGACAGUAACUGACGUUGAGGCUCGAAAGCGUGGGGAGCAAACAGGAUUAGAUACCCGUGUAGUC